rnacentral:rRNA from 1 species
AACGCGAAGAACCUUACCAGGACUUGACAUGGGAGAGCCGCGGCCAGAGAUGGUCGUUUCCGCAAGGACUCUCUGCACAGGUGCUGCAUGGCUGUCGUCAGCUCGUGUCGUGAGAUGUUGGGUUAAGUCCCGCAACGAGCGCAACCCUCGCCUUUAGUUGCCAGCACGUUUGGGUGGGCACUCUAAAGGAACUGCCGGUGACAAGCCGGAGGAAGGUGGGGAUGACGUCAAGUCCUCAUGGCCCUUAUGUCCUGGGCUACACACGUGCUACAAUGGCGGUGACAGCGGGAAGCCAGGUCGCAAGGCCGAGCCGAUCCCGAAAAGCCGUCUCAGUUCAGAUUGCACUCUGCAACUCGGGUGCAUGAAGGUGGAAUCGCUAGUAAUCGUGGAUCAGCAUGCCACGGUGAAUACGUUCCCGGGCCUUGUA